rnacentral:rRNA from 1 species
CACGUAGGAGGCGAGCGUUGUCCGGAAUCAUUGGGCGUAAAGAGCGCGCAGGCGGCUUGGCAAGUCGGGUGUGAAAGUCCCGGGGCUCAACCCCGUGACUGCAUUCGAUACUGUCAGGCUAGAGGUAGGUAGGGGAGAUCGGAAUUCCUGGUGUAGCGAUGAAAUGCGCAGAUAUCAGGAGGAACACCGGUGGCGAAGGCGGAUCUCUGGGCCUUAGCCUGACGCUCAGGCGCGAAAGCUAGGGGAGCGAACAGG